AGCGAACGCUGGCGGCAGGCUUAACACAUGCAAGUCGAGCGGGCAUCCUUGUGGUGUCAGCGGCAGACGGGUGAGUAACGCGUGGGAACGUGCCCUUCGGUUCGGAAUAACUCAGGGAAACUUGAGCUAAUACCGGAUACGUGCGAGAGCAGAAAGGUUUAUCUGCCGAAGGAUCGGCCCGCGUCUGAUUAGCUAGUUGGUGAGGUUACGGCUCACCAAGGCGACGAUCAGUAGCUGGUCUGAGAGGAUGAUCGGCCACACUGGGACUGAGACACGGCCCAGACUCCUACGGGAGGCAGCAGUGGGGGAUAUUGGACAAUGGGGGCAACCCUGAUCCAGCCAUGCCGCGUGAGUGAUGACGGCCUUAGGGUUGUAAAGCUCUUUUCUCCGGGACGAUAAUGACGGUACCGGAGGAAUAAGCCCCGGCUAACUUCGUG
rnacentral:rRNA from 1 species